UCACCCGACCUGCUGAUUUCACAAAUCCCAUUCUCAGCAGGAAUUCUCUGGUGUAACUCCCAUUCUCCAAGUGAAAAAUAGGUGAAAAAUCCCCCGCUCUCACUAUAGACAUUGUAUAUUCAUUCAUAUAAGAAAAAACGCUACGCUUCGGUAUGAUAUGGUUGAAGUGCAUGGAAAACGGUCUUUGUUACUAGCAAGAUACAACGUUGUAUCUAACUGUAUUAUAUAUAUAUUUCACAUUUCAAAUUCCAUAUCUCCAGUCCAUCUGAAUCUCGCUCACUUACCUCUCAAUAUAUAUAGUUCCUCUUAAUAAUUAUAUAUAUAUAUUGUCUAUUGAUUUGCAAAUAAAGCUGCUUUUAGUAUUUCCUGCAUGCAGUUUAUUGAUUUUAAUGCAAUUUCUACAUUUAGUUUUAAUAUUGCUGG